rnacentral:misc_RNA from 1 species
GCCAGGGAAACAGCUGAUUGUGUAUGCCAUCUGGCUACGCCAGCCGGUGUAUAAAAACAAUGUUUACAAAACAAUGAAACGUUAAAUUAAAAUACAACGUAAUAAAAAAGAAAAAGUAAUAACUAUGAUACGCUCCAUCUUUACAGGCUCCCCCGGACAUCAGGCCAGCAACAGGAAAGGACACCAAGGAGAGCCUCCCUCGACGGUGCACAGCAGCCCGUGAAGAGUCGCACCAGGAGUCAGCCGUAGAUGAGCAGCAGGAGUACUCAGACGCACGCAGCAUGGUGGGAGUGCGAGGCACACAGGCGUCCACAUGGCUGAGGUAUGCACUGUGCGUAGGAGAGGAAUAGAUGGUUACGUUGCACAGCCAAAUAGCCAUGCAGGUCCUGGGAGAAAACGGGCUGGGCAAGUCUGCCAAACUGAUCCGUUUGGAAGUAAGACAUGGGUGAGUUCCAUUCAGCAUGGAGCAGAGGUUAUGGUGGUUGUGAUGGAUGUUCCGGUAUAGCAGCAGAUCCAAGUCUGCAUAGCAGGUCCAAGGAUUGCCGAUCAGCUAGUAGCGAUUCGUCGAUGUCAUGGAGCAGCUGGCAUUGCAGUGCCGCAAGGCCCGAGUCCAGAGUUUGCUCCUCAGUGAGCGGUCGGCUUAGCUCAUCUGGAGUAGGAGGCGGAAGUAUAAUUCUCUGGAUUUGGAUUGGCUGGUCCCGGAUAAGCGGCUCAAGGGCUUCCCUGGAGCAUCUGUUGACGUUUGGAUUCCAAGGCGAGUGCUUCUGCUCGUGCCCGUUCCUCCUGUGCGAAACGGAUCAGAGAGGGCAGCUGGGGCUGGCGUUCAGCGGGCUGUGAGAGUCGUCUCUGCAGAAUUAGCUGGUGUUGUAGAGGAGCCACGUGUCGCUCAAGUUGUGCGGAGUAUCUGGGCCAGAGGAGCCUGGCCGGGCUGUAUGGGGCCAAGAUGAGUUUCUGCGCCUCUGGAUUCGGGUGGGUGCUGAGCGAGUUUGCUAGCCUCUCACAGGCUUGGUGAUAGAACUCGUCGCAGGACUUCAGCUUAUGCACUGCACGAAUUCGCGCGUUGGUCGUAUAUCUGUUAGCUGAGGCAAUAAAUCUGACGAUCCUAUUAUGCCUACUGUUGAGUCUUUGGAACUCAGUAGCUGAGACAAUGGAUCCCCAGACAGGAAUAGCAUAUUGCCAAAUCGGCAUUACAAGCUGUUUAAGGAUGAUUAUUUUGCAGGACUUAUCCAGCUUGCUAUGCUUGCCUAUGAUCCAGUCGAGGUUCCUGGCAGUGUUGGACACUCUGGACCGCAGCUGCGAUACGUGGCGUUUGAGGCGGCAUCUUACAGCCAGCGUGAUCGAAUUUACGCCUAGUGAACAUGACGUGCACAGUCU